rnacentral:sRNA from 2 species
CACAGAAAGAAGCAGCGAGUCACGUGUCAGGAGACAAGGGCGCUACCAAGGUAGGUAUCGGCCGUGCAGUUGAACGGGUGCUAAAUUUUCGGCCGGAAAAACCUUCGGUGGUGCUCUCCAUGGAUUAAACCACCUGACCAGAGUUGAACAGGGGCAAAACGUCUUGGCAAAAAUAUGAGAAAGCUUUUUUUUACACCCGUUCAACUGUAGCCUGUAUCAACAAACAACAACUACAUGCCCAUGUUCAUGCAGCGCCAUUAGACUAACAGAGGAGUAGAUAUUAUUUUAUUGAUAUCCUGUCAUCGGACAGGAAUUCAUUUGAUCACCGGGGAAGGUUGGUUUGCUCAUGGCGAGCCUUUGAUCUUUACCUCAUCUACUACCUGCAAGGUCCCUUUCCCUUCGAGUGGGUGGAGAAGACAGAGGACUUGAGAAUGUCUAUCAAAGACACCUCUAGCAAGAAGAUGGCUUUUUCAAUGUCUCUUGGGCUGCCCAAGGCUAUCAAUAAGUAUGAGAGGGUUACUCUGCUGGAGAACGGUUUGCAGAUUGCUGACGUUAUAAAAGCCACUGCAUCAAAGAGGUUAUCUGUGAAACUAGAGUAAGAUGAUAUAUUCUUGAUUUUCCUUGAUUUGCCCUUGCUCUUUUAACUGGAAAUUCUUAUUAUCUUUUCUAGUCAACGCUUCGACGCGCUACUGCGUAAGUUUCGGCACCGUAAUCGAUCGCUGCACCUACAGCGGAAUAGGUUUAUAGAAUAUGUCAAUAUUCGUUUAGUUUCACACUUCAGAACCAGUUAAAGCAGUGAAUGAUUGAUUCUCAAACUCAGUCUAUGAUUAAAAGCUCAAUGACAUUCAGUUUCUUUUAAAAGAGAGACUCUCUGAUUUAUCCACAUAUUAAUACAGAAAAUAUAUAUGAUUAUAUCCAGAGUGCUUAAACUCAUGAUCUUGUAUUGCCUAUUUCGAGUUAAAUCACACUUCUUCUACUUCAACUCUGAGCAGAAUAACAAUAACUCGACUUGAGAUCUCAUCUCUGGAGUACUUGUCAUCCAUAUGUUGCUGACUUGAGACGAUCAGUUAUCACCCCACACACGGAAUGGGCCUGAUCGUCGUUGGUUUCAAUAAUCAUGACAUUUAUCAAGCAAGCGUAUGUUGUGUCGCUCUUAAAUGUAACAUAAUAACUGGGGAAAGAAUCGGUUGUCUGAGCUUAAAUUCGGGUUCUGCAAUCAACGAACUUGCUGACUUUAAAGAACCAUCAGCAUGCUGACCUCAACUUGACAUGGGGGAAUUGUCAGCAAAAUCAAAAAUUCAAUUAUUACAUCAUAGUGGUCAUUGGUCGAUUACUCUUAGAUCGAAUAGGUUUGUAUAAAACUACUUAUAACACAGAUAUUCACCCUCUCAACAUCUAUUGAAAAUCAACAAAUAUUUACAAUUCAUUAAGAUAACGACCUCUUUCUCAAAAAAAUAUUUUGAAAUUAAAAUCCAACCAAACUCAAAAUGAAGACCUUCUACACCUUGGCUGCUCUCAUCAUGGCCUCCAUGAUCUCUGCUACCCCCGUUGCCCAGCCGGUAGAAAAUGUCCCCGCUAAGGAGGCUGUUGCUCCUGCCCGACACUGGUUCUACGCUGUUCCACAAGCUGAAGCUGAGGGGUCUGAUUAAACAAAUACUCCGACAUUUCCAAUUGAAAUACAACGGUAGACUAGAAGGGAGGAAACAGAGUAUACUCUAGCUGGGUAGUUGGGUGCGAUGGUGGGCUUGGCUGCGGGGAUACGUAUCUGUCAUAGCUUCUAUCUACAGCUGUAUUAGUUUAGCGACUAUAUGUCGGGAAUGAAUUGAAGAGAACUACUGAAGUAUGCACUUUAUGAAAAUGGUUUAAUGGUUUUAUGAAUAGUAUGAAACACAUAUUGCCAGAGUUGUAGAGUAAGACGAUGAAAGCAUUCUAUUCAAAACUAC